rnacentral:rRNA from 1 species
AGAGUUUGAUCAUGGCUCAGAACGAACGCUGGCGGCGUGGAUAAGACAUGCAAGUCGAACGCUAAUUUCGGGGUAGCAAUAUUCCGGAGUUGGAGUGGCGAAAGGGUGCGUAACAUGUGGGUAAUCUGCCGUGAAGUUUGGGAUAACUUGCUGAAAGGCGAGCUAAUACCGGAUGUAAUCGCUAAGAGGUAUCUCUUGGUGAUUAAAGUUGGGGACCGUAAGGCCUGACGCUUCAUGAUGAGCCCGCAUCCUAUCAGCUAGUUGGUGAGGUAACGGCUCACCAAGGCUAAGACGGGUAGCUGGUCUGAGAGGACGACCAGCCACACUGGAACUGAGACACGGUCCAGACACCUACGGGUGGCAGCAGUCGAGAAUUUUUCACAAUGGGCGAAAGCUUGAUGGAGCGACGCCGCGUGGGGGAUGAAGGGCUUCGGUCCGUAAACCCCUGUCAUUUGCGAACAAACCUUUCUAACUAACACGUAGAAAGCUGAUUGUAGCGAAAGAGGAAGGGACGGCUAACUCUGUGCCAGCAGCCGCGGUAAUACAGAGGUCCCAAGCGUUGUUCGGAUUUACUGGGCGUAAAGGGUGCGUAGGUGGCGAGGUAAGUUUGAUGUGAAAUCUCCGAGCUCAACUCGGAAACGGCAUUGAAUACUAUCCCGCUUGAGGGUUGGAGGGGAGACUGGAAUUCUCGGUGUAGCAGUGAAAUGCGUAGAUAUCGAGAGGAACACCAGUGGCGAAGGCGAGUCUCUGGACGACUCCUGACACUGAGGCACGAAAGCUGGGGGAGCAAACAGGAUUAGAUACCCUAGUAGUCC